rnacentral:misc_RNA from 1 species
AAGUCGUAACAAGGUUUCCGUAGGUGAACCUGCGGAAGGAUCAUUAACGAAUGCAUGGAGGGGGUUUACCCCCGACAUUUACUCGGGCUCUUUCGCGGAGCGAUUGGCGAUUUGCUGAUUGUGAAGCGGAGCGCCACGAGACAUUUACGCUUGAACCGUUUAAAUGAGUAAAAACACACUUAAUAGAUACACAACUUUUAACAAUGGAUCUCUUGGCUCUU